GCCUGGGUGGCUCAGUCGGUUGAGCAUCUGACUCCAGCUCAGGUCAUGAUCUCACGGUCCGUGGGUUCGAGCCCCGUGUCGGGCU
rnacentral:tRNA from 1 species